rnacentral:rRNA from 1 species
UACGGAGGGUGCAAGCGUUAUCCGGAUUCACUGGGUUUAAAGGGUGCGUAGGCGGACAUGUAAGUCCGUGGUGAAAUCUCCGAGCUUAACUCGGAAACUGCCGUGGAUACUAUCAAUCUUGAAUACUGUGGAGGUAAGCGGAAUAUGUCAUGUAGCGGUGAAAUGCUUAGAUAUGACAUAGAACACCGAUAGCGAAGGCAGCUUGCUACACAGUUAUUGACACUGAGGCACGAAAGCGUGGGGAGCGAACAGG